GUCAACAUAACGUCCCGAUCUCGUCUGAUCUCAGAAGCUAAGCAGGGUCGGGCCUGGUUAGUACUUGGAUGGGGGACCGCCUGGGAAUACCGGGUGCUGUAGGCU
rnacentral:rRNA from 1 species